rnacentral:rRNA from 1 species
AGCAGCCGCGGUAAUUCCAGCUCCAAUAGCGUAUAUUAAAGUUGUUGCAGUUAAAAAGCUCGUAGUUGAAUUUCGGGAUCAGUUCGUUGGUCGUGCUUCGGUACGUACUGUCAUUACUGGUUUCUCCUUUCUGAAGAACCUUGAUGUCAUUAAUUUGGUGUCUUGGGGAAUCAGGACUGUUACUUUGAAAAAAUUAGAGUGUUUAAAGCAGGCAUACGCUUGAAUACAUUAGUAUGGAAUAAUGAAAUAGGACGUUUGAUUCUAUUUUGUUGGUUUCUAGGAUCGACGUAAUGAUUAAUAGGGAUAGUUGGGGGCAUUAGUAUUCAAUUGUCAGAGGUGAAAUUCUUGGAUUUAUUGAAGACUAACUACUGCGAAAGCAUUUGCCAAGGAUGUUUUCAUUAAUCAAGAACGAAAGUUAGGGGAUCGAAGACGAUCAGAUACCGUCGUAGUCUUAACCAUAAACUAUAGCCGACUAGGGAUCGGAUGAUGUAUUUUAAUGACUCAUUCGGCGCCUUACGGG